UCACUAAGUACACAAAAAAUCCAAUUAAAUUGUUUCCAAAUAAUUAUAUUUUAGCACCAAAUCCAAUCGUUUUUGUGUUCGUUGCGGAAGACCGACACGCCAUAAUAAUAUCAUAAGUGAUAUUAUUACAGUGUCUCGGUUCGGUUAGGUUGUGCUGUAGAUUCCGAUGUCGUCUUGAUGACGCUUUGACCGCUGUAUAAAAUAUGAAAUGGGUACUAUACUGCAGCACUACUCACAGUCA